rnacentral:ncRNA from 1 species
GAUAACUGGCUUGUGGCUGCCAAGCGUUCAUAACCACAUUCGCUUUUUGAUCCUUCGAUGUCGGCUCUUCCUAUCAUUGUGAAGCAGAAUUCACCAAGCGUUGGAUUUUUCACCCACUAAUAGGGAACGUGAACUGGAUUUAGACCAUCGUGAGACAGGAC